rnacentral:rRNA from 1 species
GACGAACGCUGGCGGUGUGCUUAACACAUGCAAGUCGAACGGAAAGGCCCUGCUUUUGUGGGGUGCUCGAGUGGCGAACGGGUGAGUAACACGUGAGUAACCUGCCCUUGACUUUGGGAUAACUUCAGGAAACUGGGGCUAAUACCGGAUAGGAGCUCCUGCUGCAUGGUGGGGGUUGGAAAGUUUCGGCGGUUGGGGAUGGACUCGCGGCUUAUCAGCUUGUUGGUGGGGUAGUGGCUUACCAAGGCUUUGACGGGUAGCCGGCCUGAGAGGGUGACCGGCCACAUUGGGACUGAGAUACGGCCCAGACUCCUACGGGAGGCAGCAGUGGGGAAUAUUGCACAAUGGGCGGAAGCCUGAUGCAGCAACGCCGCGUGCGGGAUGACGGCCUUCGGGUUGUAAACCGCUUUCGCCUGUGACGAAGCGUGAGUGACGGUAAUGGGUAAAGAAGCACCGGCUAACUACGUGCCAGCAGCCGCGGUGAUACGUAGGGUGCGAGCGUUGUCCGGAUUUAUUGGGCGUAAAGGGCUCGUAGGUGGUUGAUCGCGUCGGAAGUGUAAUCUUGGGGCUUAACCCUGAGCGUGCUUUCGAUACGGGUUGACUUGAGGAAGGUAGGGGAGAAUGGAAUUCCUGGUGGAGCGGUGGAAUGCGCAGAUAUCAGGAGGAACACCAGUGGCGAAGGCGGUUCUCUGGGCCUUUCCUGACGCUGAGGAGCGAAAGCGUGGGGAGCGAACAGGCUUAGAUACCUGGUAGUCCACGCUGUAAACGGUGGGUACUAGGUGUGGGGUCCAUUCCACGGGUUCCGUGCCGUAGCUAACGCUUUAAGUACCCCGCCUGGGGAGUACGGCCGCAAGGCUAAAACUCAAAGGAAUUGACGGGGCCCCGCACAAGCGGCGGAGCAUGCGGAUUAAUUCGAUGCAACGCGUAGAACCUUACCUGGGUUUGACAUGGAUCGGGAGUGCUCAGAGAUGGGUGUGCCUCUUUUGGGGUCGGUUCACAGGUGGUGCAUGGCUGUCGUCAGCUCGUGUCGUGAGAUGUUGGGUUAAGUCCCGCAACGAGCGCAACCCUUGUUCACUGUUGCCAGCACGUUAUGGUGGGGACUCAGUGGAGACCGCCGGGGUCAACUCGGAGGAAGGUGGGGAUGACGUCAAGUCAUCAUGCCCCUUAUGUCCAGGGCUUCACGCAUGCUACAAUGGCUGGUACAGAGAGUGGCGAGCCUGUGAGGGUGAGCGAAUCUCGGAAAGCCGGUCUCAGUUCGGAUUGGGGUCUGCAACUCGACCUCAUGAAGUCGGAGUCGCUAGUAAUCGCAGAUCAGCAACGCUGCGGUGAAAAGGUUCCCGGG